rnacentral:rRNA from 1 species
GCCCUGAAACUGCGAAUGGCUCAUAAAUCAGUUAUAGUUUAUUUGAUGAUGUUUUUUAUUGGAUAUCUGUUCUAAUUGAAGAGCUAAUACAUGCAAAAAGGAAUGUAGCUUGCCUACAUUCUGUAUUUAUUAGAUACAAACAACCAUUUCAUGGUGAUUCAUAAUAACUUUAGAGAUCGCAGUGCCCUUGAGGCGGCGACAGAUCAUUCAAAUUUCUGCCCUAUCAACUUUAGAUGGUAGUGUAGUGGACUACCAUGGUAUUAACGGGUAACGGAGAAUUAGGGUUCGAUUUCGGAGAGGGAGCCUGAGAAAUGGCUACCACUUCCAAGGAAGGCAGCAGGCGCGAAAAUUACCCAAAUAGGAACUUCUUGAGGUAGUGACAAGAAAUAACAAUGCGGGUUGUUAUACAAUUCGUAAUUGGAAUGAGAUUAAGUUAAAACUCUUUUUGAGGAUCAAUUGGAGGGCAAGUCUGGUGCCAGCAGCCGCGGUAAUUCCAGCUCCAAGAGCGUAUAUUAAAGUUGUUGCAGUUAAAAAGCUCGUAGUUGGAUUUUUUAUAGCUAAGGUUUGUGAGAUGGUCUUGUCUAACAUGUACCUUUCACUCUUAGCUAAACCGUGAUCAGAAGGGAGUUUCAUAUUAUUAACUUAAUGUGGAAUUCCAAAUUAAAAAAACUUUUGAUCACAUUUUACUUUGAAAAAAUUAGAGUGUUUAAAGCAAGGAGCUACUCCUUUGAAUAGAUUAGCAUGGGAUAAUAGAAUACGAUUUUAAUCUAGUUUGGUUGUUUACUUGAUUAAAAUAAUGAUUAAUAGAGAUAGUUGGGGGUAUUCAUAUUUAAUUGUCAGAGGUGAAAUUCUUGGAUUUAUGAAAGAUGAACUUAUGCGAAAGCAUUUAUCAAGGAUGUUUUCAUUGAUCAAGAACGAAAGUUAGGGGAUCGAAGAUGAUCAGAUACCGUCGUAGUCCUAACCAUAAACUAUGCCGACCAGAGAUUGGAUUAAGGAUAUUUUCUUUUAAAAUAUAUCCUUUUGUGUAUUCAUUAAAACACUUUUCCAGGAUCUUGUGAGAAAUCAUAAGUAUUUGGGUUCUGGGGGGAGUAUGGUCGCAAGGCUGAAACUUAAAAGGGC